GACGUAGGGCGCGAGCGUUGUCCGGAUUUAUUGGGCGUAAAGAGCUCGUAGGCGGCUCAUUGCGUCAACCGUGAAAACCAGCAGCUCAACUGUUGGCUUGCGGUUGAUACGGGUGGGCUGGAGUUCGGUAGGGGAGACUGGAAUUCCUGGUGUAGCGGUGAAAUGCGCAGAUAUCAGGAGGAACACCGGUGGCGAAGGCGGGUCUCUGGGCCGAUACUGACGCUGAGGAGCGAAAGCGUUGGGAGCGAACAGG
rnacentral:rRNA from 1 species